UAGCGGCGAGUGAGCGGCAAAGCUCAAAUUUGAAAUCUGGCGCCUUCGGUGUCCGAGUUGUAAUUUGAAGAUUGUAACCUUGGGGUUGGCUCUUGUCUAUGUUUCUUGGAACAGGACGUCACAGAGGGUGAGAAUCCCGUGCGAUGAGAUGCCCAAUUCUAUGUAAGGUGCUUUCGAAGAGUCGAGUUGUUUGGGAAUGCAGCUCUAAGUGGGUGGUAAAUUCCAUCUAAAGCUAAAUAUUGGCGAGAGACCGAUAGCGAACAAGUACAGUGAUGGAAAGAUGAAAAGAACUUUGAAAAGAGAGUGAAAAAGUACGUGAAAUUGUUGAAAGGGAAGGGUUUGAGAUCAGACUCGAUAUUUUGUGAGCCUUGCCUUCGUGGCGGGGUGACCCGCAGCUUAUCGGGCCAGCAUCGGUUUGGGCGGUAGGAUAAUGGCGUAGGAAUGUGACUUUACUUCGGUGAAGUGUUAUAGCCUGCGUUGAUGCUGCCUGCCUAGACCGAGGACUGCGAUUUUAUCAAGGAUGCUGGCAUAAUGAUCCCAAACCGCCCGUCUUGAAACCACCGGACC
rnacentral:rRNA from 1 species